GGUGGUAAUGCCGGAUGCUCCGACUCCUCGCAUGGGGUGUCGGGAAAGAUUUCAUCGGUAUGGGAUGGGGUCGCGUCCUAUCAGGUAGUCGGCGGGGUAACGGCCCACCGAGCCUACGACGGGUAGCCGGCCUGAGAGGGCGACCGGCCACAUUGGGACUGAGAUACGGCCCAGACUCCUACGGGAGGCAGCAGUGGGGAAUAUUGCACAAUGGGCGCAAGCCUGAUGCAGCGACGCCGCGUGCGGGAUGACGGCCUUCGGGUUGUAAACCGCUUUUGAUCGGGAGCAAGCCUUCGGGUGAGUGUACCUUUCGAAUAAGCACCGGCUAACUACGUGCCAGCAGCCGCGGUAAUACGUAGGGUGCAAGCGUUAUCCGGAAUUAUUGGGCGUAAAGGGCUCGUAGGCGGUUCGUCGCGUCCGGUGUGAAAGUCCAUCGCUUAACGGUGGAUCUGCGCCGGGUACGGGCGGGCUGGAGUGCGGUAGGGGAGACUGGAAUUCCCGGUGUAACGGUGGAAUGUGUAGAUAUCGGAAAAGAAC
rnacentral:rRNA from 1 species